rnacentral:misc_RNA from 1 species
AUAUUAGACACAGUCCGAUCCAGACGUCGGAUAGAGGAACGUCUCUUGACCGCGACACCUCUAUUAUAAUAAUAGUGUUCCUGUCUAUUUUGGUAAUGUCUUUUCGUUAGUUUAUUGAGUGUUUUUUAUAGCCCCGCUUAGAGCGAUAUGAGUAACAAAAACGAAAAGUGGAAACCUAUGGUCAUACAUAACCCUUCUACCAGGAUGCGGAUGGCCAGGAAUAUGCCGCAAUGGGUGAAUAAAAGCGGUUCCAGUGGCAUCCCACCACCUCCCAUUCCUCGAGAUUCCGGAAGAAAAACUGACGAACCCGACUAUGAAGUAAUUGAAUUCGGCCAAUAUUUAAACACUCCUCCUACGAAAGCUCUAGGUGAAAUUUACAUAUCUAUUAAAAAAAACUAUAUAAAACUAGCUCUUGUUGUAGAACGACCGCAAAAACAUUGUCAACUAUGCGGCUCUACGUCCCCGAACGUGAACGUGCAUUGUGAACAUUGCAAACAAAACUUUUGCCUUUCUUGUGACGAUAUGUACCAUAGGCAUCCAAAAAGACAGCAUCACAUAAGAAGAAGGGUAGAAGAACGUGGGUUCCAACCUAUAAGACCCCCUUUACCCCCUAAAGGAGAAUUUCCUCAGGCGCCCCCUCAACCUCCCCCUAGAAGAAGACGUUCUGGAUCAAUAGGACCCUCCCCUUGCCCCUCACCCACCCCGAUGAAGAAUAACCAGGGUUCGCAUCAAUUUUCUAUGCCAAGAAAGGACAGCGGGUUUAGUCUUAAAGAAAAAAUGAACAGCCUUAGAAGAGGACUGACUUUGGGCAACAGACCACUGCCGCCUACGCCAAACAGUCCUUCCAGUGGCGGUCCAAGCUAUCCAACGUCCAGGUCGAAUUCCCAAGUGUCCCAGGACGAUUUUCGACAAUUCCAGGCACCUAGUCCCAGCCCGUCCCUUCAAGAACGUUAUAGGAGACAUCAGCUAGCUAUGAGAGGCACGACACCCAAUUUGCCAAGUCAUGUGGCGGCAGAGUUUGAUAAAUCGCCAAGUGGGGAUUCGGGAUAUCCAGAUUGGGAUCAAUGGGCUAUUCGGGACAGGGCAGGAAGUGUUUCUGGAUCAGAGGCGGCCACCAAAGUAUCAAGAAAACUCUCCAACACCUCUUGCCCGCCACCGACCAGAAGCAAUAUACCACAUAGCACCUCAGUGUUUGAUUUGAACAAUACCAUGGCCCAUCAUCACCACGGAGGAUUUACGCCCAUGCAACAGGCCCAAUCAAUGGCCCAACUUGGUUAUCCAAUGCCUUGUUGUCCCAAUGUCUGGAUGGAACAGCAACCGUGCUGCUUCGACCACGCCCCUCACGGAAGCAAUAUGAGUCUUAACGUGCCUCACGGUUAUCCAGUCAAUCCUAUGUGGAUGGGCACUUGGCAUGGUCCAUCACCUGGAAUGUAUCCCUGUGGAAUACCGCCGCAAGCAAGGCCUUGUUCACAUUCACGUCCAGCCUCACCGACCCAUAGCGUUAAGUCACGUAAAUCCACUCUAAGCAAGAAAUCCCGAAGGAAGUACCAGGACGAUUCCUCAGAUGAAGAUUUAAACGAUCUGGACGAUAGAAGAUCAAUGUUUAGCCACACGGAUAACCGUAGUGAGAGAAGAUCCCUGGGAAGAUACGGGCUAAGAGAGAGAUCACGAGAUACAUCUUCAAUGCCCAGGGAAAAUGCGAGACGAAGAAACAGUGAUAGAGCAGAAAGGGCCUCGGUUGGUAAAAGCAGAGUCAGCGUGGUAGACUCUUCGUCAAGUAAUAAAACGGACGACGAAGAAAGCGACGAUAAUAAAGCCAUUGACAAGAAAACCGAUGAUACUCCUGUUAAUGAAGAAACACCAUUUAAUUCGGAAGAACCGGUAGAUAUACCGGAAACAUCAUGGAGCUGCGAGCAUUGCACUUUCGUCAACGAGCCGGGCACGAGGGUGUGUUCCAUCUGCUGCAAAACACCCAUUUCCCAAGUAAAACUUGUGAAACCACCACAGCAAGCGACAAAAGUGGUCCAGCAAGGCAAAAAUUCAAACUUAAAGCCUCCGAUUGGUCGUAACAAUAACGUGCCCACCGGAAACAAGGCUAAAAUCAAGGAGAAUAAAGUGUUGCAAAGUUUAAGCUCAGACGAUUACAGCGCCAAGUCGCUUAGUGAAACAGAAUCGAUGCAAAAUAAACUGCAAAAGCUCAACUUGGACCUACAAGGAGAAUCGAAAUCCAAAGAACAUGGUGCUGAAAAUAAGACUGAUAAACAUAGUGAUCAUCAUCAGCGGUUAGAUGAUCAAAACGAAUCUGCCGGUUUAAAAGUAUCAACUGCAUGUGGCACGUCACCUCCAAAAGAAAUAGUUGAUGCCAACAAUAAUAAAAAAGUAGCGUCUACGAGUACUGCGACCUCUCCACCGCCUCAAAAUAUCUCCACACAGACUUACGAAGAAUCCCCGCGUAAAAGUCAAAGAAGUUCUCCACCGAAAAGUAUUGCGGAUCACAGUAGGUCAAGCAGAUACAGAGACCUAAAAAGGUCACAGUCCGUCCACACGCCAUCCUCGAAAAGGGGUUCGGAAUGGUCGUUGCAUAGGUCUUCCAGUAGACAUAGCUUCACUACAGAUUCGCAAAGUUUGCCUGGUAGUAGAGAACCCAGUCCCAUGCCCUUCGACUACGAAGAACCAUACUUCGAAAAGCCAUCAGUGAGGCAAAAGAAGUUGCACGGAGGAAACGGCAGGAACUCUCACAGCAUUAUGGACCUCAGAAGACCAGAGCUGUAUCAAAGGAGACCCAGCCAUCAGGAUUUAGGAUCUUACAGGAUGGACUAUGCUGUCCAGGAGCCUCUAAAUCACCGUCACCGUUCCGAGUCUCUGCGUCCCGAAUAUUUUGAAAACGUUUUUGAAAAAAGGGAUAAUUAUAAGAACCAAGGCAUGGAAUUAGUUAAAUUACUUAGAGAAGCAGAGCUACAUAAGUUUACUGCUGAUGAGGUACAGGCAGCUCUCUUGCAUUGUAAGGAUCAAAAUCCUAUUGACUGGCUUAAAGAACACUGGGAAGCGAUAGUUGCUAGUGUACAAACCUUGGCCACCCAAAUGGGUAGAGAGGGACCAAUGAAUAUAGUUGGAACUGUAUCGGAAAAAGAGGCCAGAGACUCCCUGAGGCGUAAUAAGGGAGACCUCUGGCCAGCUGUUCAACAAUGCGUUGAACAGCGACAGAGAAAGUAUGCAGAGCUAGCCAGUCGUGGUGACUUCUCCAGGGAAGACAUAGUGACCGUUCUAACAACAAAUCAUGGUGAUUUAGAGGCGGCCUAUAGUGAACUCAGUAAAACGCAAAUAAAACCGUUUUUAAUGCGAAUUUGGGGUCCACCGAACGGUAUCGAGAACGAGGCAGGUAACGAGGGGGCCACCCUGCAAAAAUUUAGGGGGGAAGAAGUGCUUGAUGAAAAACAAAAGCAAUUAAAAAAACAAGCUGAAGCGGUAAGUCUCGAUCAAAAUCAGUUUAAACCUUCUUCUCCUAAUGCCGUAAGUACUAGCCCCCCGGAUUUAAAAAAAACCCAAUUUUUUAACGAGUCUCCCCUAGAAGAUUCGAUAGAAUUAGUUAGUGAAAAAGAUAAACCAUUACCGUCGCUAGAUACUAUAGAAACCGAGAUUUUAAAGAGCAUACAGGAAAUUAAUAAUUUAAGCAACGAACGCAGAAUGCAAAGGCAGGAAAGGGAACAAACACAUUCAAAAUCUGAGCCGGUUCUAGAACAACCAUCAACUGAAAUAUCUCUACAAAAUGUCGAUUCGCAAUCUACACUCUUAGAAGCUGUAAAUAGGCAGGAUGAAUCUGCAACUGAAAAUCAUCCUCUCUCAAUAUUAAUGAAUGAAGAUUCUCUGAAGGUUCAAGACCUUUCCGAAGCAUUUCAACCUAAAUCUGACAAGCAAAUUAUAUCAGGAACUUCUGCAGAGCAUGGAGAACCUCACGUUCCUAAUCCUAUAUUCUCUACACCCACUAAAACUCCCCUUAAAACCAUAGAGAUUACUUAUACGCCUAUAUCCCCGGUACUCACAAACCUUGAGGUUCCCCAAAGUCCUAAAACGUAUGUAGAAAAAAGUAGCACAGUAAUAGAAGUAGUAGACUUAGCGGGAUUAGAACCAACCAGUGGAAAAAAGUCGGAAAGUCCCGAGUCUGAGAGCAGCAGUUCGAGUGAGGAAAAUGUAUUGGGAGAUGAACAGUUUGAAGAUGCACUUGAAGAUAUGGAAAAGAGUGAAGCUACAAGCGUUGAUAUGGUAGAACUUGCACCAUCGAUACCAGAACGAAAAAAGAGUAUUAGCACUUUAAACAUUCAGCUUUUCGAAACACCUUUGGCGUUUGUUUCUAAGGGUAAUGUAAGUAAUUUAACAGAGAAUGCGCCUAUUAAGUUCGAGCCGGAAUUUCAGGAAAGUACUGCGGAAAUUGUCCUGAAAAGUUCUGACGGUAGAUCUGCUCUAAAGGAUAAAGUUGGAAGGACAGACCAUGAGCUAGUCAAAAAUAAGGGAGUUAUUACGCCUAAGCAAAUGAAGGAAAUAGGAAGUAAUGGGGCAAAUUUCGAAAAUUCUUUGCAUAUAGAUAUAGAAAAAACUGUAAUUGUCGAUCAAAAUAUUAAAGUGCGUGAGGACAUUUUAGUAGAAGAAGAUGAGCCUACUGAAGCAAAACAUAAAGAAAUAAAUGCAAAAACUGAUCAAAAUGUUAAUGACAAUAACAUAAGUAAAGAAGCAGAUGCUAAAGCUAAAAUGCCACAAGAAGUAGAGGUAAUCGCCAGUAACUUUGAUAUGACUAAAAAUAAUGUUAGAGAAGAAAAUGGUACUCGAGAAGCAAAUCAGGUUUAUCAAAAAGUUGAUCCUGCAGCAAUAACAGAAGCUCAACAAGAUGAGGCUCAUAAUUCUCUAUCUAUAAUGGGCGAAUCAAGAAAAGAUAGGCCAGUCGCAAGUAACUUUGAUAUAAAUUCGAAUAUCAUAGAACAACGUCAAACUCAAAGGCCCAUUAAUGAAGAAGAGGUUUUUCAAGAAGUUAUUCAUGCACCAAUAACUGAAGUGAAAGGGGACUCUUCAGAAAAUGAGCUUCAUAACACUGAAUCUCAGAUAGAGGAAACAACAGAACAACCCAAGAACCCACAGGGAGAAGAGGUGAUCUCAAGUAAGUCUGAUAAAAAUAAAAAUAGUCUUAUAGAGCAAAGUCUCACUCAAGUUAAUGAAAAAGAAGUUUUUCCUCCAGAAAUAACUGAAAUAAAAGUAGAGUCUGAUAAAAUUAUGGAAGCUUCACAACAUGGACUUGAUAAUUCUGAAUCUCAGAUAAAGGAACUAAUAAAACAACCAAAGAUCCCAGAUGGAGAAGAAGUGAUCUCAGGUCCCUUUGAUAAAAAUGAAAAUAAUCUUAUAGAGCAAAGUCUCUCUUCAGUUAAUGAAAAAGAUGUUUUCCAAGAAGUUGUUCCUGCACCAAUAACUGAAGUAAAAGUAGACCCUGAUAAAAUAAUGGAAACUUUAGAACAUGGGCUUCAUAACUCUGAAUCUCAGAUGGAGGAACUAAUAAAAAAAUCCGAGAGUCCACAGGGAGAAGAAGUGAUCUCAGAUACCGUUGAUAUAAAUAAAAAUAAUCUUAUAGAGCAAAGUUUCACUUCAGUUAAUGAAAACGAACUUGUUCCUGCACCAAUAAGUGAAAUAGAAUUUGACUCUAAAACAGCAGCUUCAAACCCCAAGUCUGAUAACUCUGACCUUAAAAUAGACGAAUCAAUAAACUUGAGCUUACCUCCAAGUGGGGCCAAAACGAAAAAUCUCAGCAAAAAGCAAAAGAAAUCAAAGAAACAAGCCAGAAAGAGAGCAGAGAAAUUAGCAUUAAUGCUUAGAAAAGAGAGUUCUAGCAGUACGAAUGAAUCACAAAGCGACAACACUGAAUCUAAAGAGGAAGAGAAGCUGGUUAGCUCAGUAAGUGAAACUGUAGAAGAAAUCGUUAGUAACUUAGAAAACGCCUCUGAUCCAACCAAAGAAGGGCAUAAGAUAGAAAGAAAAAAACCACUUAAGAAAACGGACAGUAAAAAGUUUGAGAAGUACAAGCAUAUGACUUUGAAGCAAAAUAUUCCUUACUCGCCAAUAGAAGAAAAGCAAGAAUUUACGUUGGAGCCAAUUCAAUCUGAAGUGAAAGGUAAUGAAAUUACAUCAGAAAAUAAAUCCAUUGAAGAGUCAGUAAUUGAGGCAAUCCAAACUGAAGAAAUUCGGCCAGUGACCACGACAAAAAUCCAAAUAGCACAAAACCAUCAAUAUCCAGUAUCCAAAAGCCAACCAUCAAAAAUUCCUGUAAUUUCACGACAGAAUUCUAUAACCAAGGAGCCUAAAUCGCCACCUAAUACUACAGGGAGCAAAAUACCAGUGAGACAAAGUCCGCCAAGGAUUCAAAAGGCCCCAGAGAAAACUCCUGCUAAAGUUGUCAGCCUUAUGGUAGAAGAAUCGUGUGAAUCUGAAAACGAUGCUCAAAAUGUAGUUCAAAAAGUGAGCUCUUCUAACAAUACGUCUUUAAAACACUCAAAAAGUCUUAGUCCAAGACCAGUUGACCGACAAAAGCCAAGCACAUCCAGGUCGUUCGAACAAAGGCGCAGUUUAUCAAGAAAGUCUUCAAUUCAAUCAAAUCAAAGCGAAGAUAUCGGUAAGAAACUGAGCAAGAAGAUAUCCUCUCAAUCAUUUAAAAGUUCACUGGACUCAAACGCCAGUUCUAAAAAGAUGUCUUAUACCAAAAGUCUUGAUAAUGAUAGCGAAAGUUCGGUAUCUGAUAGUAACGUCGAGGAGCUACUAUCUGACGACGAGUUCGAACAUUUCGAAGUCGAUUAUAUAGAGGAAAGCGAGUUGGAGGAAAGCGACUCGGAGGAUUACGAAAAAUUUGAUCAAAUCGCUGAAAAACUGAGCAAAAAUUUAAAUCAAAUGAGCGAAAAGAUGGGCCAGUUAACAUCAAAAUUAGACGGAAGUAAUAGUUAUUCUAUUGAAGAAACUUGUGAGUCUGAACAGUAUAGUUCUGAUGAUGAAGAGGAAGUUGACGAAACGGAGAGUAGCCAAAAUGAGGACCAACUUAUCGAAGAUGUUUUACUAGAUACAAAAGAAAAAAUUCUUAGUGAAACCGAACACAUGCAGAGGCAAGCGAGAAGGUUUUUAGCGGAAGGAAGGGUGCAGAACUACGAGCAAGCAGAGCUGGCAGCAAGUUUGCUUGCUUUGCAGUUCUCUCCCGAGGAAGCUCUCGAAGCUGUUAAGGACUGUAGCCACUUGGAUGCCGCCAUAGCUUAUUUGCAACAGGACUGCGAGCUGUGCGCUGGAAAGUAUCCAAUGAAAAAGAUUAUAUCAAUGCUAAAAUGUACCCACAGAUGUUGCCAGGAAUGUGCCAAAAACUACUUUACAGUGCAAAUAACAGACCGGAGUAUCAUGGAUUGUAACUGUCCCUUCUGCAAAGCUCCCGAGUUAAGUCACAACACUUCUACAGAAGAUGAGAUUUCCGACUAUUUUAGCAACUUGGAUAUUCUACUCAAAGGCAUUUUAGAUCCACCGGUUCAUGAGCUAUUUCAGCAAAAGCUGAGAGAUCGAACUCUGAUGCAGGAUCCUAAUUUUAAGUGGUGUGUACAGUGUUCGUCUGGUUUUAUAGCGCAUCCAAAACAAAAGAGACUUAUUUGUCCGGAUUGUAAAUCAGUCACUUGCGCUAGCUGUAGAAGACCGUGGGAGAAACAACAUGAAGGAAUUACGUGUCAAAAAUUCGCCGAAUGGAAAGACGCCAACGAUCCAGAAAACCAGGCUUCCGCUGUCGCAAAGCAUUUAGCUGAAAAUGGUAUAGACUGUCCUCAGUGUAAAUUUAGAUAUUCCUUAGCUAAAGGAGGUUGCAUGCAUUUCACCUGUAUCCAGUGCAAACACGAGUUCUGUUACGGUUGCGGCAAACCGUUUAUGAUGGGCGCCAAAUGUAGUGUGAGUCAGUAUUGUUCAAAGUUAGGAUUGCACGCUCAUCAUCCUCGAAACUGCUUAUUUUAUUUGAGAGACAAAGAGAUUCAUGAGUUGCAAAAAUUAUUGAAAGACCAUAAAAUCAAGUUUGACACAGAGCUGCCAACAGAGAAGGAAGAAAAUGCAAGCGCAAUCGUAAGAUGUCCUGUUUCUCUACAGAAGGAAACACCAACCGGUUUAUUGGAUACUGUUUGUAAUAAUGAUGUGAAUCCGGGGCAAGCUGGCUUAUGCAGAAUGCAUUACAUAGAGUACCUAAGCCUGUUGAUUUGUAAAAAUAAAAUCGAGACCAUCGAGAUCCUUCAAGAAGACGAUCUAGAAACGAUAGUGCGUAGGGCGAACAAACGGUUGCCCCCGAACGCUUACGGUACCCCAAAGUCCAUGUACCAUUUUAGACUGAAACAGGCAACACUACAUCGAGUACUUAGUGGGACUGAUAUUCAGGCACAAGUUGGAUCCCGUAUCGAUCUUGGAUUUGGUUGAGGUUAGCCAAGAGUUGAGGAGACGUGGACACGAGUUACCCGAGAGGGGACCGUGGUGCGACGACAACCAAUAUAGAGAAAUGUGCGCUAAGAUCGUCAUGGAGCAAGUGCCUCUUGAAUGAAACUGAAACAAACAGAAGAUUUUGGAUAAUGUAAGCCCUCACUUCACUCAUUCUAGACGAAGAAUUAGGCAGAUGUCUAUCUGACAUGUUAAAAACCAGAUAAAUCAUAAAUAAAUAUUUUGAUGCUUUACGACUCGGUUUUCCCUAUCUAGACGAUAUUGUUUGUUACCCUCUUACAUUAUUAUUUUAUUAGACGAUAUUUUGUAACGCACGUUUUAAAACAUUGUUUACCUUUAGAUGCCUAGACUUUAUGAUUGUUUAAUAAAGGAUUCUCCAAUAA